rnacentral:misc_RNA from 1 species
GCAACAAGCCAACCGCAACCAGACUCCAGAGAGAGAGAGAGAGAGCCACACAUUGCAAGCUUCCACCAUUUCCAAGAACAACUGCCACUGCAGAGAGCUCGUACAGGAAGAGAUGGAGAUGCACAUGGACGACAAGAGCAAGACGCCGCUUUCCAAGAAGGGGAGCCGGAGGUCGGCGUCGGCGUCGGCGGCGGCGGGGCUGAAGAGCCGGCCGUCCAGGGCCGCCGCGGGCAGGUCGGUGCCGGGCCGCCUGGCGGGCCUGGUGAAGGAGCAGAGGGCCAGGUUCUACAUCAUGCGCCGCUGCGUCACCAUGCUCGUGUGCUGGAGGGACUAGCUCGUGCAAGCGGUGCGCAUCUAUCCAUGGCCGUAGCGCGUAGGCCCCCCCACCCCGUUCGGUGGAUGUGGGCUGUGGCUCGGCCCAUGUGGGCCUGGAGCUGUAGCGCCCUGGUAGGUGAGGACGUGAUGUCCAUCACAUGUGCCAUAUAUACUGACUAGUUUCCCAACAACAGCAACCCCAAAACAAAACAAAAAAAAGUGUCAUGGUGAGAGAUCGGAGAUGUGCCUGUUGUGUGGCCAUCCUGUGGUUCAUAUGUGUCCAUAGCUGUCGGA